rnacentral:rRNA from 1 species
AUUGAACGCUGGCGGCAUGCCUUACACAUGCAAGUCGAACGGCAGCAUGGAGAGCUUGCUCUCUGAUGGCGAGUGGCGAACGGGUGAGUAAUGCAUCGGAACGUACCGUGUAGUGGGGGAUAACGUAGCGAAAGUUACGCUAAUACCGCAUACGACCUGAGGGUGAAAGCAGGGGAUCGCAAGACCUUGCGUUAUACGAGCGGCCGAUGUCAGAUUAGCUAGUUGGUGAGGUAAAGGCUCACCAAGGCGACGAUCUGUAGCGGGUCUGAGAGGAUGAUCCGCCACACUGGGACUGAGACACGGCCCAGACUCCUGCGGGAGACAGCAGUGGGGAAUUUUGGACAAUGGGGGCAACCCUGAUCCAGCCAUGCCGCGUGAGUGAAGAAGGCCUUCGGGUUGUAAAGCUCUUUCGGCCGGGAAGAAAUCGCACAGGCUAAUACUCUGUGUGGAUGACGGUACCGGCAUAAGAAGCACCGGCUAACUACGUGCCAGCCGCCGCCGUAA